rnacentral:rRNA from 1 species
AUUGAACGCUGGCGGCAGGCCUAACACAUGCAAGUCGAACGGACCCUUCGGGGUUAGUGGCGGACGGGUGAGUAACACGUGGGAACGUGCCUUUAGGUUCGGAAUAGCUCCUGGAAACGGGUGGUAAUGCCGAAUGUGCCCUUCGGGGGAAAGAUUUAUCGCCUUUAGAGCGGCCCGCGUCUGAUUAGCUAGUUGGUGAGGUAAUGGCUCACCAAGGCGACGAUCAGUAGCUGGUCUGAGAGGAUGACCAGCCACAUUGGGACUGAGACACGGCCCAAACUCCUACGGGAGGCAGCAGUGGGGAAUCUUGCGCAAUGGGCGAAAGCCUGACGCAGCCAUGCCGCGUGGAUGAUGAAGGUCUUAGGAUUGUAAAAUCCUUUCACCGGUGAAGAUAAUGACUGUAGCCGGAGAAGAAGCCCCGGCUAACUUCGUGCCAGCCGCCGCGGUAA